rnacentral:rRNA from 2 species
AUAGAUUGGGAGCUUGCUCCUGGUUUAUUUCAGCGGCGGACGGGUGAGUAACGCGUGAGCAAUCUGUCUCAGACAGGGGGAUAACGCAGCGAAAGCUGCACUAAUACCGCAUGAGACCACAGGGCCGCAUGGUCCAGGGGUCAAAGGAGCAAUCCGGUCUGAGGUGAGCUCGCGUCCCAUUAGGUAGUUGGUGAGGUAACGGCCCACCAAGCCUGCGAUGGGUAGCCGACCUGAGAGGGUGAUCGGCCACACUGGAACUGAGACACGGUCCAGACUCCUACGGGAGGCAGCAGUGGGGAAUAUUGGGCAAUGGGCGAAAGCCUGACCCAGCAACGCCGCGUGAGUGAAGAAGGUCUUCGGAUUGUAAAUCUCUGUCCCAGGAGAAGAGGGGAAGACGGUAUCCUGGGAGGAAGCCCCGGCUAACUACGUGCCAGCAGCCGCGGUAAUGCGUAGGGGGCGAGCGUUGUCCGGAAUGAUUGGGCGUAAAGGGCGUGUAGGCGGCCUGUUAAGUCUGGAGUGAAAGUCCUGUUUUCAAGAUGGGAAUUGCUUUGGAUACUGGCGGGCUUGAGUGCAGGAGAGGUUACCGGAAUUCCCGGUGUAGCGGUGAAAUGCGUAGAGAUCGGG